CUCUUUUGAUGAAUUUUGAAAGGGCAAAUUGUAACUUUAAAUUUUUUUUCAAAUAAAACAAUUAUAAAGUUAAAUAAACGAAAAAAAAAAUAAAAAUAUAUUCAUCUCGUUCUUUCCCAAAACUCUCUCCCAUCCGCCCAAAACUAAAUCAAAACCUACUCGUGCGCCACUGCCAGUGAUUGCACUGGCACCACCAAUUCCUAUUAUGCAAGCACCGCCAACUCCGCCUACUACCACAACCAGCAGUAUCUACAGUCCACCCACAUCAUCUCCACCUCCAGUUGUGUAACCCAGUGCUUGAUCGUGUCUCGCUACAGAACCUCCACUGUGCCGGGGACCACAGCAACUCAUUGAAAGUUCCAUUAAUCAUUUGAACAAUUUCUUCACUUCUUCGUUAGGAAUUAAAACCUCGCAUAGAGACUUGGCAUUGCAUGAAAUUUUGUCAAUGAACAUGGCUUUUACAGUCCUUUUCAGUAAGCAUACACUCUACGUGGGUGCCUGCAGCAUGUCCUUUGUGUCUCGCCCUUCGAUGCCUUAAAGUUAAUCUUGAUUUCUGCAAAAUUAAACGACAGUGAGCAAUCUCCGCUCCAUGAAAUGUCGACUUUAUAAACAUAUACAGGCAUCCCAUUUAGAUCAGCAAGCCUUGGAAAUAACAUCAAGUUCUGUCAAGUUGUGUCAAAAUGCCAAUCACUUAAUUACUUUCCCAUGUAACAGUGCACAACAAGAUGGCACUGGCAGCUUCACUUUUUCCACGAAACUAAAAUUUUUACAUAGAGAUUGCAAGGACGGACAAAGAGGAGAUGAGUUUGGCUAGGGAAUAGCUGCUUCAAUGGAAAAUCUGAUUAUGACUCUCACUUCUUAUUUAGAACCAACUUACAGGCCCCUAAUCUCCAUAAAUUCUUGAAUUCACAUUAGAAUGAGUUUUGGAAUAGUAAAUUCUUGGAGAAUGUAUGGUUGAAAAUGAGUUUGAGAGAAAAAAGGGUUUUGAAAUAAUGGUAAACAAACAAGACACACUUUGACCACAAA
rnacentral:lncRNA from 1 species